GGUUAAGCGACUAAGCGUACACGGUGGAUGCCCUGGCAGUCAGAGGCGAUGAAGGACGUGCUAAUCUGCGAUAAGCGUCGGUAAGGUGAUAUGAACCGUUAUAACCGGCGAUUUCCGAAUGGGGAAACCCAGUGUGAUUCGUCACACUAUCAUUAACUGAAUCCAUAGGUUAAUGAGGCGAACCGGGGGAACUGAAACAUCUAAGUACCCCGAGGAAAAGAAAUCAACCGAGAUUCCCCCAGUAGCGGCGAGCGAACGGGGAGCAGCCCAGAGCCUGAAUCAGUGUGUGUGUUAGUGGAAGCGUCUGGAAAGGCGCGCGAUACAGGGUGACAGCCCCGUACACAAAAAUGCACAUGCUGUGAGCUCGAUGAGUAGGGCGGGACACGUGGUAUCCUGUCUGAAUAUGGGGGGACCAUCCUCCAAGGCUAAAUACUCCUGACUGACCGAUAGUGAACCAGUACCGUGAGGGAAAGGCGAAAAGAACCCCGGCGAGGGGAGUGAAAAAGAACCUGAAACCGUGUACGUACAAGCAGUGGGAGCCUCUUUAUGGGGUGACUGCGUACCUUUUGUAUAAUGGGUCAGCGACUUAUAUUCUGUAGCAAGGUUAACCGAAUAGGGGAGCCGAAGGGAAACCGAGUCUUAACUGGGCGUUAAGUUGCAGGGUAUAGACCCGAAACCCGGUGAUCUAGCCAUGGGCAGGUUGAAGGUUGGGUAACACUAACUGGAGGACCGAACCGACUAAUGUUGAAAAAUUAGCGGAUGACUUGUGGCUGGGGGUGAAAGGCCAAUCAAACCGGGAGAUAGCUGGUUCUCCCCGAAAGCUAUUUAGGUAGCGCCUCGUGAACUCAUCUCCGGGGGUAGAGCACUGUUUCGGCAAGGGGGUCAUCCCGACUUACCAACCCGAUGCAAACUGCGAAUACCGGAGAAUGUUAUCACGGGAGACACACGGCGGGUGCUAACGUCCGUCGUGAAGAGGGAAACAACCCAGACCGCCAGCUAAGGUCCCAAAGUCAUGGUUAAGUGGGAAACGAUGUGGGAAGGCCCAGACAGCCAGGAUGUUGGCUUAGAAGCAGCCAUCAUUUAAAGAAAGCGUAAUAGCUCACUGGUCGAGUCGGCCUGCGCGGAAGAUGUAACGGGGCUAAACCAUGCACCGAAGCUGCGGCAGCGACGCUGAUGCGUUGUUGGGUAGGGGAGCGUUCUGUAAGCCUGUGAAGGUGUGCUGUGAGGCAUGCUGGAGGUAUCAGAAGUGCGAAUGCUGACAUAAGUAACGAUAAAGCGGGUGAAAAGCCCGCUCGCCGGAAGACCAAGGGUUCCUGUCCAACGUUAAUCGGGGCAGGGUGAGUCGACCCCUAAGGCGAGGCCGAAAGGCGUAGUCGAUGGGAAACAGGUUAAUAUUCCUGUACUUGGUGUUACUGCGAAGGGGGGACGGAGAAGGCUAUGUUGGCCGGGCGACGGUUGUCCCGGUUUAAGCGUGUAGGCUGGUUUUCCAGGCAAAUCCGGAAAAUCAAGGCUGAGGCGUGAUGACGAGGCACUACGGUGCUGAAGCAACAAAUGCCCUGCUUCCAGGAAAAGCCUCUAAGCAUCAGGUAACAUCAAAUCGUACCCCAAACCGACACAGGUGGUCAGGUAGAGAAUACCAAGGCGCUUGAGAGAACUCGGGUGAAGGAACUAGGCAAAAUGGUGCCGUAACUUCGGGAGAAGGCACGCUGAUAUGUAGGUGAAGUCCCUCGCGGAUGGAGCUGAAAUCAGUCGAAGAUACCAGCUGGCUGCAACUGUUUAUUAAAAACACAGCACUGUGCAAACACGAAAGUGGACGUAUACGGUGUGACGCCUGCCCGGUGCCGGAAGGUUAAUUGAUGGGGUCAGCGCAAGCGAAGCUCUUGAUCGAAGCCCCGGUAAACGGCGGCCGUAACUAUAACGGUCCUAAGGUAGCGAAAUUCCUUGUCGGGUAAGUUCCGACCUGCACGAAUGGCGUAAUGAUGGCCAGGCUGUCUCCACCCGAGACUCAGUGAAAUUGAACUCGCUGUGAAGAUGCAGUGUACCCGCGGCAAGACGGAAAGACCCCGUGAACCUUUACUAUAGCUUGACACUGAACAUUGAGCCUUGAUGUGUAGGAUAGGUGGGAGGCUUAGAAGUGUGGACGCCAGUCUGCAUGGAGCCGACCUUGAAAUACCACCCUUUAAUGUUUGAUGUUCUAACGUUGACCCGUAAUCCGGGUUGCGGACAGUGUCUGGUGGGUAGUUUGACUGGGGCGGUCUCCUCCUAAAGAGUAACGGAGGAGCACGAAGGUUGGCUAAUCCUGGUCGGACAUCAGGAGGUUAGUGCAAUGGCAUAAGCCAGCUUGACUGCGAGCGUGACGGCGCGAGCAGGUGCGAAAGCAGGUCAUAGUGAUCCGGUGGUUCUGAAUGGAAGGGCCAUCGCUCAACGGAUAAAAGGUACUCCGGGGAUAACAGGCUGAUACCGCCCAAGAGUUCAUAUCGACGGCGGUGUUUGGCACCUCGAUGUCGGCUCAUCACAUCCUGGGGCUGAAGUAGGUCCCAAGGGUAUGGCUGUUCGCCAUUUAAAGUGGUACGCGAGCUGGGUUUAGAACGUCGUGAGACAGUUCGGUCCCUAUCUGCCGUGGGCGCUGGAGAACUGAGGGGGGCUGCUCCUAGUACGAGAGGACCGGAGUGGACGCAUCACUGGUGUUCGGGUUGUCAUGCCAAUGGCACUGCCCGGUAGCUAAAUGCGGAAGAGAUAAGUGCUGAAAGCAUCUAAGCACGAAACUUGCCCCGAGAUGAGUUCUCCCUGACCCUUUAAGGGUCCUGAAGGAACGUUGAAGACGACGACGUUGAUAGGCCGGGUGUGUAAGCGCAGCGAUGCGUUGAGCUAACCGGUACUAAUGAACCGUGAGGCUUAACCUU
rnacentral:rRNA from 1 species